rnacentral:rRNA from 1 species
UACGGGGGGGAGCAAGCGUUGUUCGGAUUUACUGGGCGUAAAGGGCGCGUAGGCGGCCAUCGCAAGUCAAUUGUGAAAUCUCCGGGCUUAACUCGGAAAGGUCAACUGAUACUGCGAGGCUAGAGUGCGGAAGGGGCAACUGGAAUUCUCGGUGUAGCGGUGAAAUGCGUAGAUAUCGAGAGGAACACCUGCGGCGAAGGCGGGUCUCUGGGCCGAUACUGACGCUGAGGAGCGAAAGCGUGGGGGAGCAAACAGG